GGAUAUAGUUCAGGUGGUAGAGUGCUUGCCUUGCAUGCACAAGGCCUGGGUUCAAACCCCAGCACCA
rnacentral:tRNA from 1 species